ensembl:lncRNA
UCUUAGCCUGGUCCCAGAUCUGUUUGUAAAGAACCAUAACAGGAAGUGGUCCCCCUCUUAGCCUGGUCCCAGAUCUGUUUGUAAAGAACCAUAACAGGAAGUGGUCCCCCUCUUAGCCUGGUCCCAGAUCUGUUUGUAAAGAACCAUAACAGGAAGUGGUCCCCCUCUUAGCCUGGUCCCAGAUCUGUUUGUAAAGAACCAUAACAGGAAGUGGUCCCCCUAUUAGCCUGGUCCCAGAUCUGUUUGUAAAGAACCAUAACAGGAAGUGGUCCCCCUCUUAGCCUGGUCCCAGAUCUGUUUGUAAAGAACCAUAACAGGAAGUGGUCCCCCUCUUAGCCUGGUCCCAGAUCUGUUUGUAAAGAACCAUAACAGGAAGUGGUCCCCCUCUUAGCCUGGUCCCAGAUCUGUUUGUAAGGCUAAGAGUGGAGGCUAGUCCACCCUCUCUCCUUUACAUCCCUGUUCUCCUCUCCAAGCCAAUCUCCAGGUUUAGUGUUGCACAAUUCCCCUAAUUCUGAAUCUCCCUAGCCAGGCUUCAGCUUCAGGACUGUUCUGAAUCUCCCUGGUCAGGUUUCACCUUCAGGAAUGUUCUGAAUCUCCCUGGUCAGGUUUCACCUUCAGGACUGUUCUGAAUCUCCCUGGUCAGGUUUCACCUUCAGGACUGUUCUGAAUCUCCCUGGUCAGGUUUCAGCUUCAAGACUGUUCUGAAUCUCCCUGGUCAGGUUUCAGCUUCAGGACUGUUCUGAAUCUCCCUGGUCAGGUUUCAGCUUCAGGACUGUUCUGAAUCUCCCUGGUCAGGUUUCAGCUUCAGGACUGUUCUGAAUCUCCCUGGUCAGGUUUCAGCUUCAGGACUGUUCUGAAUCUC